rnacentral:rRNA from 1 species
AUUGAACGCUGGCGGCAGGCCUAACACAUGCAAGUCGAACGAGUGGCGGACGGGUGAGUAAUGUCUGGGCAACUGCCCGAUGGAGGGGGAUAACUACUGGAAACGGUAGCUAAUACCGCAUACUAUCGGAUGUGCCCAGAUGGGUUUAGCUAGUAGGUGGGGUAACGUCUCACCUAGGCUACGAUCCCUAGCUGGUCGGAGAGGAUGACCAGCCAAACUGGAACUGAGACACGGUCCAGACUCCUACGGGAGGCAGCAGUGGGAAAUAUUGCAAAAUGGGCGCAAGCCUGAUGAAGCCAUGCCGCGUGUAUGAAGAAGGCCUUCGGGUUGUAAAGUACUUUCAGCGAGGAGGCGUUACUCGCAGAAGAAGCACCGGCUAACUCCGUGCCAGCAGCCGCGGUAAUAC